GUACAUAUACGUAUACACAUAUCUGUGUGUAUAUACGUAUACACAUAUCUGUGUGUAUAUAUAUGUAUA
rnacentral:pre_miRNA from 8 species